CAGGAUGAACGCUAGCGGCAGGCCUAAUACAUGCAAGUCGGACGGGAUCCAUCGGAGAGCUUGCUCGAAGAUGGUGAGAGUGGCGCACGGGUGCGUAACGCGUGAGCAACCUACCUCUAUCAGGGGGAUAGCCUCUCGAAAGAGAGAUUAACACCGCAUAACAUCAACAGUUCGCAUGUUCGGUUGAUUAAAUAUUUAUAGGAUAGAGAUGGGCUCGCGUGACAUUAGCUAGUUGGUAGGGUAACGGCCUACCAAGGCGACGAUGUCUAGGGGCUCUGAGAGGAGAAUCCCCCACACUGGUACUGAGACACGGACCAGACUCCUACGGGAGGCAGCAGUAAGGAAUAUUGGUCAAUGGGCGGAAGCCUGAACCAGCCAUGCCGCGUGCAGGAUGACUGCCCUAAGGGUUGUAAACUGCUUUUGUCCAGGAAUAAACCUAAAUACG
rnacentral:rRNA from 1 species